rnacentral:lncRNA from 1 species
AUUUCUAUAUGAUCAGGAUAAAAUAUAGUUUAAUUGGAUAUGUUUAUAUCGAUUUUUGGAUUGCUACGUGAUUUUAUAAUCGAUUUGUGAAUUUAAUUUCGUUUAAUGAUUAUUUAUAUUUAAAUAGUUAUUUAGCAUUUUGAACCCCGUGGGCGUUCGGGAAAAUUUCGCCAUUAAGCUAUUUGGGACAUUCUGAGCAUUUCUCGUGUUUUAACUUUUUCAAUCCGGAGUACGGUU